UACGUAGGCAGCAAGCGUUGUUCGGAAUUACUGGGCGUAAAGAGUGUGUAGGCGGUGCUCUAAGUUCGGUGUGAAAUCUCCCGGCUUAACUGGGAGGGUGCGCCGGAAACUGGAGUGCUUGAGCGCGGGAGAGGAAAGCGGAAUUCCUGGUGUAGCGGUGAAAUGCGCAGAUAUCAGGAGGAACACCAAUGGCGAAGGCAGCUCGCUGGGACGGUACUGACGCUGAGGCGCGAAAGCGUGGGGAGCAAACAGG
rnacentral:rRNA from 1 species